GAAACGACUGCUAAGACUGGAUAGGAAAUAAAAAGGCAUCUUUUUGUUUUUAAACGACCUUCUUCGGAGGGUAUGCUUAAAGAGGGGCUUGCGCCACAUUAGUUAGUUGGUGAGGUAAAGGCUUACCAAGAUUAUGAUGUGUAGCUGGACUGAGAGGUUGAACAGCCACAUUGGGACUGAGACACGGCCCAAACUCCUACGGGAGGCAGCAGUAGGGAAUUUUCGGCAAUGGAGGAAACUCUGACCGAGCGACGCCGCGUGAACGAUGAAGUAUUUCGGUAUGUAAAGUUCUUUUAUUGAAGAAGAAAAAAUAGUGGAAAAACUAUCUUGACGUUAUUCAAUGAAUAAGCCCCGGCUAACUAUGUGCCAGCAGCCGCGGUAAGACAUAGGGGGCGAGCGUUAUCCGGAAUUAUUGGGCGUAAAGGGUGCGUAGGCGGUUAGAUAAGUCUAUAAUUUAAUUUCAGUGCUUAACGCUGUCUUGUUAUAAAAACUGUCUUGACUAGAGUGAGAUAGAGGCAAGCGGAAUUCCAUGUGUAGCGGUAAAAUGUGUAAAUAUAUGGAGGAACACCAGAAGCGUAGGCGGCUUGCUGGGUCUUUACUGACGCUGAGGCACGAAAGCGUUGGGAGCAAACAGGAUUAGAUACCCUGGUAGUCCACGCUGUAAACGAUGAGUACUAAGUGUCGGGGCAACUCGGUACUGAAGUUAACACAUUAAGUACUCCGCCUGAGUAGUACGUACGCAAGUAUGAAACUUAAAGGAAUUGACGGGACUCCGCACAAGCGGUGGAUCAUGUUGUUUAAUUCGAAGAUACACGAAAAACCUUACCAGGUCUUGACAUACUCUGCGAAGCUAUAGAAAUAUAGUGGAGGUUAUCAGGAUACAGGUGGUGCAUGGUUGUCGUCAGUUCGUGUCGUGAGAUGUUAGGUUAAGUCCUAAAACGAACGCAACCCCUGUCGUUAGUUACCAGCACGUAAUGGUGGGGACUUUAGCGAGACUGCCAAUUAAACAUUGGAGGAAGUGGGGAUAACGUCAAAUCAUCAUGCCCCUUAUGAUCUGGGCUACAAACGUGAUACGAUGGCUGUUACAAAGAGUAGCUGAAACGCGAGUUUUUAGCCAAUCUCAAAAAGACAGUCUUAGUCCGGAUUGAAGUCUGCAACUCGACUUCAUGAAGCUGGAAUCGCUAGUAAUCGCGAAUCAGCAUGUCGCGGUGAAUACGUUCUCGGGGUUUGUACACACCGCCCGUCA
rnacentral:rRNA from 1 species